ensembl:lncRNA
GGCCCCAGAGAGCAAACAGCAGGACCAUCAGGCUUGGAGUCCAGCGGUGCCCCUUCUGCCCUGGGACCUCAGGACACAAUACUGGGACCCCUUCCAUCAACUUCACCCCAGAAGACAAGGCCUACUUCAAUCUCCUGAGAUCACCAGCCUAACAGCUGAAGCCAUAAGGCAGGCAACUCUGGCUCCACUGCAGCACUCUGGCCGGAGGACAAACCAGCUGGUCAAUCAGCAGUUGGCCAUUUUUCGCGGAGAGUAGGUACCUUUGGUGCACUGGAGCAGAGGACCGAGCCUGGAGGAAGCCCAGAUCGUCACACCCCGUCCGUCCUCUUCCCAGGUACCCUGCGUCUCCACCACCAGUCCUUGGAUUUCUCAGUGCAGUACCCUGACCCUGGGGAGGGAGCUCCCAAUGCCAGGUUUUCUCCCUCCUACCGACGGGAUGGACAUGAGUUAGAGCAAGCUCCGGGAGUUGGUGAAGGACAGGGAGGCCUGGCAUGCUGCAGUUCACGGGGUCGUGAAGAGUCUGACACAACUGAGCGGCUGAACUGACACUGCACUCCCAGGAGAAGCCUCCAGGGGGCGCCCUCAUCCCCCAAGUCCAGAGGGCCUUGGGGGCACCAAGCCUGGGGUGAUGGUUGGAACACAGGAACUAGCUCUGUAACCUAGAGAAAUAGCUUGGCUGCUCCUAGCCUGUCUACUCAUGUGUCAGGAGGAAGAAUGAUAGCUAUUUUGUUCCCGGGUCUACUUACCACAUCGGGUUGCAGGGGCGGAGUAAUGGAGGCCCUUGUGCCUGCCACUGGGUUUUCCCUUGUGGCUCAGCUGGUAAAGAAUCCGCCUGCAAUGAGAGAGACCUAGGUUCGAUCCCUGGGUUGGGAAGAUCCUCUGGAGAAGGGAACAGCUGCCCACCUGCAGCUAGGCGGCUCCCGUCUCAGGUAGGAGCCCUGCAUCUGGGCCCUAGGCAGAGAAGAGGACUGGGCUUCUUGUCAGGGAAAGGGAACGGGCCUAAAGUCCCCCCAACAGGCUGAUCGCUGGCCCGGACUCCAGCUGUUUGGAAUUCAGUUCACAGACGAGGAAGCAGGAGCCGUUGCAGAUUUCCCCGCCUCGACCCCCACCCCGCACGCCCCCUCCGCAGGACAGUCUGAGUGAACUGAGGGACUGGACACCGGAAAAGAAGCUCUCCAGGGGCUCUCCAGGGGCUCAGGUCCCGGCUGAGUCACCUGCCUGGACGUCCGUUUCAUAUGGCCUCUCUGUUACUCACUAACCAAGAACAUGACUUAAUUCCCCGUGGGCGAUCCCACCAGGCACAUAAAGAAAUGCGUGAUGACUGUGACACAGAAGCUAAAAGCCUCAAUUACCCUUCGUGACAGGAACAUGGGACUUUUUUAUGAAGAGAGAAAUUUUUGCCUCGUAAAUUGCACGUGUGAGGGGUCAGCCCGCGCUGCUGGUGACCCUGUUACAUCCUUCACAGCCAGAGGCAGCCUCACAGAUGGCAGGGAUCACCCCAGCCUCACCCCUGCUUAUUAAGCCCCAGAUUAGUGGUUUGAGAGAGCCCUGAGGGGUCAGAGCGGGGGCCGGGGUUAGGCCAGGAGAGGCAGCCAGAAUGUAGGAAUAUUCCCGGCUCUCAUCCUGGCUCUGCUUACGGGUAUCAGUUGUAGCGGGUGGGCAAAGGAGAGGAUCUUUAAAAGGCUUUCUUGACACUCCCACCCCCAGAAAUUCUGAUGUAAUGGGUCCAGCGUGGAGCCUGGGUACUGGGAGCUUUAAUAGUGGCUCAGGUAAUUCUGAAGUACAGCCAAAUGGAGAGCUAAAUAGACCUUACUCCACCCUGCCAAGUGAUGAAUUGAACAGAAAGUUUUUAGCAAGUGCGGGCUGGUGUUGGG